rnacentral:piRNA from 1 species
UGCUGGGUCAAUGGCUGAAUCCUACCAGAGU